UCACAGCUUUACUGGUUGCGAUACUGUGAGCGCAUUUGUGAGAAGGGGGAAAGUAGGUUCAGUAAAGCUUCUCGAGAAAAAUACAGACUUGCGUAUCUAUGCUAAGUUUGGUACAAGACAGUAGUGUAGUGAUGACUUAUUAGUGCAAAUAGAGUAUUUUGUAUGUUAUAAGUAAGGAAAACCAAAUUACUAAGAUGGAAAGUAGAUCCGGACUGAUACAUUCUGUAAGAGAAGUGAGAUCAAAUAUAAUACUCUGCACUCAUGCGAAACUAUUGACUUACGUUUGCUACCUCAAUUUUAAGCACCACUUAACAUAUACACCAGACGGGCUAAUUACCAAACCUAUAUUUGAUUAAGCGCCCAUGAAAGAUAACCAUGCAUUUCUAAUGUUCAAAAUAGUCGCUGGAAACUUGGUGCAGACGGAAUCAAAUACGUGUGGACUGAUAGUGACAUUUUUCCAAUUGAGCUAGUGGACACACUUUUUACAAAGUUGCAAGAGGAUAAAAACAAUCAGGAUGAGGAUUAAAAUGAUGCAGGCAUUUCCCCAGACGGUUUAAGCACAGCGGGCCCGCGGUGCCUGGACUUCAAAAUCCAUUGCGCCGCGGCGCUUGAUUUUCAGAUAAUGACGUCGCGAUGCUUGAAAAGUUUACAAGCCAUUGCAAGCUCUGAUCCGAAUGUUGUCUGCAUUCUGGCAUCGACCAAUCCUUAUUAGUUUAAUGUUCAUAAUAAUAGAUUUGAUAAGACGUGAGCACGAUUUAUGGGUCGUUUAUAGGGGUGAAUUAUGGUGUGUAUCCCCAAAUAAUGGUCUAUAAUGAUCGAUUAUUACCGGUACACGUGACGUAAGAGAAAUUGAAGUACUACUAAUUAUCGUCGCUGUCAGAGAGUGAAAAAAGUGAAAGUGAAAGUGUCAAGGACGUUUAAGUGAUCCUGAGACCUCCAACCCACGAACCAAAAGUCUCAAGCAGCGAGUCAGUGGCAGCAAUAUUGUCCAAUGUUGUCCAUGGAAAACAGAAGUUGAAGGAGACUGCGAGUAGGCUCAGGCACAAUGAAAGGGGGUAAAAAACAGAAAAUUCUGCUCGCCUGAAGUCUGCUGUCCUCAAUGCUCUGGUGAUGGUCAGCAUUGAAGGACCAGACAAUGAGGCAGUGGAAGAAUGGUGGAUGCCUGGCACCAGGCGAAGCCUCGGGGAACAG